AUGAACGCUGGCGGCGUGCCUAAUACAUGCAAGUCGAACGAGGCGCUCGAGUAGCAAUACGAGAGUGUCCUAGUGGCGAACGGGUGAGUAACGCGUGGGUGACCUGCCCCAAAGUGUGGGAUAACAGUUCGAAAGGAUUGCUAAUACCUCAUGUGGUCUCCGGGUUUAGAAACCGGCGACUAAAGCAGCAAUGCGCUUUGGGAGGGACCUGCGUCCCAUCAGCUAGUUGGCGAGGUAACGGCUCACCAAGGCGACGACGGGUAGGGGACCUGAGAGGGUGGCCCCCCACAAUGGAACUGGAACACGGUCCAUACACCUACGGGUGGCAGCAGUAGGGAAUAUUGCUCAAUGGGCGAAAGCCUGAAGCAGCAACGCCGCGUGCGCGAUGAAGGCCCUCGGGUCGUAAAGCGCUUUUCUACGAGAUGAGAAAGGACAGUAUCGUAGGAAUAAGUCUCGGCUAACUACGU
rnacentral:rRNA from 1 species